rnacentral:miRNA from 1 species
CGAUUGCUGUCAUAACUGCUGC